rnacentral:tRNA from 2 species
GCCGGGGUGGCGUAACGGCAGCCGCGCGGGUCUUAGAAGCCCGUGCCGAAAGGCGUGCGGGUUCGAGUCCCGCCCCCGGCA